AAUCACAUGAAAUAAAAUAAUUCUUCUUGCCCUCAAUUCUUCCCUUUGAUCCCCCUUAUUCUCUUCAUCUUUUUGUUCUUUAUCAAGUUUGUGCAGUCCUGCGUCACACACAUAUGGUGUAACAAAGCUAAAGCCAAUGUGAAACAAUAUGGAGAUUAACCGUGCUUAAGUAUAGACAGAAGUUUAACACAACUGAUCUAUUGAAGUUUUUGAAUCCUCUAUACAUUGGACGGAACUAAAGAUUUAAGAUUAGAACAUCAAUUCAACACACCUAAUGUUAACUUUCUUGUUUGACUUUGGCUUUUCCUUUAAUGCAGGACUUCAGAGUGCUCUUUCCAAGUUGGGCCGAUACUUGUGGUUAACGAGCCUUUCACGAUUGAUAGUGGCUUAAUGACUCCAACCAUGAAAAUCAGAAGAGACAAGGUUUUAUCUAAAUUCAAAGAGGAAAUAGACAAUUUAUACAAGUGAAUUGCCUAAUAUGGUCUCACCGAACUAGUAAAUGUGCAAACAUGGCUAGCAAUUUCUUACAGUGUCUGUGCAAUGUUAUAAUACUCCUUUUCUUGCUAAAUUCCUUCAUUGUAAUAUUCCUUUUGUAAUAAUAUAUCGUUGGGCUGGUUAUACACCAUAUUUUUCUAAUGUUGUCAUAUCAA